CUUCCUACAGAACUUCUGGAACUGAUCUUUUGCCAUGUAACUCUAGAAGACAACGUUCGUGCCUCUCUUGUUUGCAAGAGUUGGCAUACAGCUGCCAUUUCUGUCAGAGUGGUAAAACAAUCACCCUGGCUGAUGUAUUUUCCAAAAUAUGGGAAUUUGUAUGAGUUCUAUGACCCAGCACAGCGCAAGACCCAUUCCCUUGAGUUACCAGAAUUGUAUGGGUCAAGAGUUUGUUACACUAA
rnacentral:misc_RNA from 1 species